UGCCCAUUGGCCCAGUGGUUAAGGCGUCUGACUGUUAGUAAACAGACAAAUCAGAAGAUCCCUGGUUCGACCCCAGGAUGGGCAG